AUUACAGAGCGUGAGGCUCAGUCGCGGCGUCUGCCAUGUGCUGGGCCGACCCUCCCACCCGUGUCGAUUUAUUGAUUGUUGCUUUGGCGGGCCGGGACCGUCCACGUCGCUCGCAGUGACGUGUGCGAACUGCCCACCGGCUUUGGCUGGAGCGUGCCCGCCAAAGACCCAUCCCCAAACUCAUAUUGUCCUGCAGUCUAAGUGAUAUUAUAUAAUUGAUAAAACUUUCAACAACGGAUCUCUUGGCUCUGGCAUCGAUGAAGAACGCAGCGAAAUGCGAUAAGUAAUGUGAAUUGCAGAAUUUAGUGAAUCAUCGAAUCUUUGAACGCACAUUGCGCCCCUUGGUAUUCCGAGGGGCAUGCCUGUUCGAGCGUCAUAACACCCCCUCGAGCUACAAUUGUGUGGCUGUGGUGUUGGGGCUCGCCGCGCCUCGCGGUGGCUCUUAAAGACAGUGGCGGUCCCGGCGUGGGCUCUACGCGUAGUACUUUUGAUUCUCGCGACAGAGUGACGACGAAGAUCAGCCAAAACCCCCCAACCUUUAAUCAAGUCCGGUAAAUACGGAUUUACAGGUUGACCUCGAAUCAGGUAGGAAUACCCGCUGAAC
rnacentral:rRNA from 1 species